rnacentral:tRNA from 1 species
GGCGCUAUAGCCAAGUGGUUACGGCGACAGAUUCGAAUGAUGUGAAAUCUGUUCCUCUUUGAGGGCGCAGGUUCAAAUCCUGCUGGCGUCG